rnacentral:lncRNA from 1 species
GGAUAGAAGCACAGAGAUUGCAUCAUGGGAAGAAAGUCAUUGUACCUUCUAAUUGUGGGAAUCUUUGUAGCAUAUUAUACUUACACGCCUAUCCCAGAUAACUUUGAGGAGCCCUGGAGACUAAUGCUGAUCAACACACCACUGAAAACUUUUCAAAAUUUGGUUUCAUUCUUCGAGUUUCUGGGAUUUUACCAUCUUGCUGAUUUAAUUGCGCUAAGUAAAGCCUUUUUAGAAGUCCCGCCAACUUCAGAUGAAAAUGUCACUGUGACUGAGACAACAUUUGAUAAUGUUCCUGUGCGUGUAUAUGUACCAAAGAGGAAGGUGGAUGCACAAAGAAGGGCUGUGUUUUAUAUUCAUGGUGGUGGUUGGUGUUCUGGAAGCCCUGGUAGGUGAAUUCUUUGAAAGACAUCUGACCCU